UACGGAAGGUGCAAGCGUUGUUCGGAAUGAUUGGGCGUAAAGCGCACGUAGGCGGUUUUGUAAGUUAGAUGUGAAAUCCCCGGGCUUAACCCGGGAAGGUCGUCUAAGACUGCAGAUCUUGAAUGCUUGAGAGGUUGGUGGAAUUCCUGGUGUAGGAGUGAAAUCCGUAGAUAUCAGGAGGAACAUCGGAGGCGAAGGCGGCCAACUGGCGAAGCAUUGACGCUGAGGUGCGAAAGCGUGGGUAGCAAACAGG
rnacentral:rRNA from 1 species